CCUACGGGUGGCAGCAGUGAGGAAUAUUGGUCAAUGGUCGGGAUCCUGAACCAGCCAUGCCGCGUGAGGGACGAAGGCUCAGCGUAUUGUAAACUUCUUUUGUAAGGGGACAAAGUCCCUUACGCGUCCCCUUUUGCGUGUACCUUACGAAUAAGGAUCGGCUAACUCCGUGCCAGCAGCCGCGGUAAUACGGAGAAUCCGAGCGUUAUCCGGAUUUAUUGGGGUUAAAGGGUGCGCCGGCUGUCUGGUAAGUUAGCGGUGAAAUCCCGUGGCUCAACCCCGGGGCUGCCGCUAAAACUGUCGGACUAGAGUUGGAAUGAAGCAGGCGGAAUGGGCAGUGUAGCGGUGAAAUGCAUAGAUAUCGCACAGAACACCGAUUGCGAAGGCAGCAUGCUGGGUCGGAACUGACGCUGAGGCACGAAAGCGUGGGUAUCGAACAGGAUUAGAUACCCGAGUAGUC
rnacentral:rRNA from 1 species